AGAUUGAACGCUAGCGGGAUGCUUUACACAUGCAAGUCGAACGGCAGCGCGGACUUCGGUCUGGCGGCGAGUGGCGAACGGGUGAGUAAUAUAUCGGAACGUGCCCAGUAGCGGGGGAUAACUACGCGAAAGCGUGGCUAAUACCGCAUACGCCCUACGGGGGAAAGGGGGGAUCGCAAGACCUCUCACUAUUGGAGCGGCCGAUAUCAGAUUAGCUAGUGGUGAGGU
rnacentral:rRNA from 1 species